ACGGGAGGCAGCAGUGAGGAAUAUUGGUCAAUGGGCGAGAGCCUGAACCAGCCAUGUCGCGUGGAGGAAUAAGGAUCUAUGGUUCGUAAACUCCUUUUGCGGGGGGAUAAAGUGCGGGACGUGUCCCGUAUUGCAGGUACCCCGCGAAUAAGCAUCGGCUAACUCCGUGCCAGCAGCCGCGGUAAUACGGAGGAUGCGAGCGUUAUCCGGAUUUAUUAGGUUUAAAGGGUGCGCAGGCGGGACAUUAAGUCGGCGGUGAAAUACCGUGGCCCAACCACGGGGCUGCCGUCGAUACUGAUGACCUAGAGUGCGUGUGACGUAGGCGGAAUGUGACGUGUAGCGGUGAAAUGCUUAGAUAUGUCACAGAACACCGAUUGCGAAGGCAGCCUACGAAUGCGUAACUGACGCUCAUGCACGAAAGCGCGGGUAGCGAACAGGAUUAGAUACCCUGGUA
rnacentral:rRNA from 1 species